UUUCAACUGAAGAAUGUCUGGAAUUUGGACUUAGGAGAAAGGCUGGACAGGAUUGUAGUUGUAGCCUGGUAACCUUACAGCAGUUACUGGGGCUGUUAUUAUUAUUACUUCAAUCUUAUGUAGAAAUUUGCAAACUGCUUUAUAGUCAUUUUACGCAGAAAAACAAGAACUGACUUACUGUUGCCAAAGAGUGUUCAAAAAUUGCUGACAGCUAAAGAAAGACUCAUUCUGGUGAGGAAAUCAGGACACUGACUAUGAAAGGAGACGUUAUUUACAAUUACUCCAUGACAACACGCAUAAACCUGGAUGAAUGGCCCCCCUACUGUUGAGUUCACCGGCAAAAACAUGCUCAUUGGCAGAGGCCAGCAGAGCAUGAGAUGAAAAGCUGCCUCGUAAGUCUUGGCAAUGACUUCAAACCCUCCCAACUUAAGAGAGAUGGUGGGAGAUGUAGGCAGAGUUGCUCACUGACAGCCAGAAGAGGAAGAUGGAUGAUCCUGGCUCCUCAGAGAGCUUGUAAUGGAGUUUUCUCCUCCGUUGCAUCCCAUUUUUCCUUGCCACAGAUCCUGAGUUCUCCCUGUCCCCGGCUGAAAUACACUUCCUUCUGUUUGCAGAUGGCAAAUGUGACAGUGCAGUGAGCUGUAGGCUAUAAUCCAGUCUGAUAGGCACCCUGGUUUGUGAGUGGAGGCCAGAAAUAGCUGGGGCAGAAAUGCAAACCACGGAGAGGAGGCA
rnacentral:lncRNA from 1 species